CCGACGAAAUAAGAGCCGGAAUAGUGAGGAAAUAUCAGAUUUACGUGAUUUGUUUUGUUGUUUUGGCUUUUGCCGCUGCCACAGCUACAAGAGUUUGCAGCAACAGAAAUAUCUUGUGCUCUGUGGUUAGAUCAACUAGUUGUUCAAAGAAAAUCGUUUCCAGUCAUUGCUCAAGGCUUUGCAACACAUGUGGAGGUAAUACGGCUUCUUACACUUGAGGGGGUUGUCAUUGCAUUUUAGUUGUGAAUCUACCUAAUUUGUUUCGUAAUAGCAAAAUGUCGAAACAUAAAGGCGUCAAUGCGCGUUGAUUGUGGCUACCAUGGAAUUAGUCCGUUGGAUUGCUUGAGAAAGGGAUGUUGUUAUGGCGAAUUAAAGGUGGCUGGCCCGUGGUGUUAUCAUCGAAAAGGUAAAUUUUCGACUAUGUUUUCGGCAUUAACACUGACAAUUUGGGCCACUAAUUAUUUCUCCAAAUACUCUAGCAAACUGUCCCAUGAUUGAAGCAAACAAACGUGAAGAUUGUGGUUACCCUGGGAUAAGCAAAUCAGAUUGCGUCAAAAAAGGAUGCUGUUACAACGCGAUCAAGGAAAAGGGACCGUGGUGUUAUUACAGGCAAGGUAAGUUGUUCCGCUCUUACUGAUUAGGUAUUUUGAAAGCAUUGUGUACUCUUCCAUCCGUAAUUUUAGAAAAAUGCCGGAAAAUAGCAGCAACAAGACGUCAUGAUUGUGGUUAUCCAGGCAUAACGAAGCGGGCAUGCGAGAAGAAAGGCUGUUGUUAUAGUGAAUUGCUAAACCAAAGUGGACCGUGGUGCUACCACCGACUAG